AUGCUUUCCAAAACUUCAGCUCACUGCCGUUCUCCCACCGCGGUACCGCUAGCUUGCCUUCAUCCAACCACCCGCGACCAACACCCUUGCCGUCACGCUCCAACAACCUCAACAACCUUGGCUCCACUGCAGCUUGUUACAAACGCCGGCCACGCGCAAAAUACGCACAAGCCUCCACCGCGAAGUCUCUGCAAUCCUUCAUCGAAACCUCUCCAAUCCUCCAUCAUCCUCUCGACUACCACCGACCGCCGCUAUUUCUUUGGCCAUAAACUUCGAUCGUCGCACCCAUCGAAGCUGCCAGCCAAAGCAUCCAUCGCCAAAAAUGGAAAUCGUGUCGUUUUGAGAAUAAGAUAG